AGUAUUGAGUAUUGGGUAGUAUUGAAGGACCAAGGCCCACUCCACUCUCAAUGGCACCAUUCAUUUUUUUUCUUUUUUGCCAAAAUAUUAGCUGUCAUCAAGGCAUGACCUCAGUUUUGUGCUAUGGAAUUAGGGCAUUCAUAUUCUCUAGGACUUUGCUACUUUCUCUAUGAUCACAGAACCUAAAGUAAUCUACAGAAAGUGUCUCCUGACAUUUUCAAUUUUAGUUGCUGUCGAUCAAUCAGUAAGCCAAUAAACAUUUAUUAAGUGCCUACUUUGGGCCCUGAGGCAUUGUGCUGAGACAGGGCAGGGAUACAAAGUGAAAGCAAAAAAUGGUCCCUGACCUCUGGGAGUUAACACUUUGAUGGAGGAAACAAUAUGAAUGUAUAAAUAAGGAGGUAUAACAUCUAUACAGAGUAAGUAGAAAAUUAACUUUUAGAAAACUAAGGCAAGGACUGUGGAACCAGGAAAUAUUUCCUGCAAAAGGUAGUAUUUAAGCUGAAUCUUGAAGAGAGUCUGUGAGGUUGAGCUGAGGAAGAAAUGCAUUCCAGACAUGGGGACACAGAGAUAGAAAAUGGAACAUUGUAUUUGAGGAAUAACAAAUAUGUCAGUCUGAUUGUAAUAUAAAAUGCAUGGAAAGGAAUAAUGUGUAAGAACCCUGGAAGAUAAGCUAGGUCCAAGUGAUGAAGAAUUUUAAAUGGCAGCUAGAUGGCUUAGUGGAUAGAACAUCAGGCCUGGAGUUAGAAAGACUAAUCCUUUUGAAUUCAAAUCCAACCUCAGACACUUUUGUGUCACCUCAGGCAAGUCAUUUUACACUGUUUGCCUCAAUUUUCUCAUCUGAAAAAUGAUCUGGAAAAAGGCAAAAGGCAAAUCACUCCAGUAUCUGCCAAGGAAAUCUCAAUGGGGUCAUAAAUAGACUGAUAUGACUGAAAAUUUGGACUCAACAACAGAAAUGAUAAACAGAGUUUGCAUUUGAUCAUAGAGGUAGCAGGGGGUUUUGGAUUUCACCCACCAAGAGUACUAAAGGGGGUUGGUUGGGGAGAGGAAUAUGAAAUAGGGAGAUACACAUUUUUUAAACUGAAGGGAUGGAAAAGCCAAAUGAAGGGACUAAAAAGAAAAACCAUCUGACUCUCUGAUCUUUUAAAAACUUUAUUAAAAGAAAAAAACCCACCAGAGUUCCCUAGCUGAAAUGAACUAGUAUCCCUGCUACUCUGAAUCUUGUCAGAUUCAAAGGUCCCUCCCAAGUACAGGGAUUGGUCCUUAUAUAGACCAAUCCCCGUACCUGGAAGUAGGUGGGGCAUGGCCCCUCCCUAGCAUGGGAUUGGCCCAAUUCAAGACCAAUCCCAUGCCAGGAAGUAGGGAGUGUGACUCCUCCCUAGCAUGAGAUUGGUCCAUUCAAGACCAAUCCCAUGCUAGUAAGUAGAGACCGCUGAGGCACUGUGGGGUGCAGUUUCCUGGGCCACAACAUUUUGAAACUCGCAUUACCCUUACCCUUUCUCCUUAAAUUGGUACUAAAUAUCAUUUCCAAAAUAGAAGAGUGGUAAGGGCUCGCUCAUUGGGGUUAAGUGAAUUGCCCGAGGUCACGCAAUUAUAAAAUAUCUGAGGCCAAAUUUGAAUGCAGGACCUCCUAUCUCCAGGCUUGGUUCACUAUCCAUUGGACCACCCAGCUGCCCCCUUAAUACACAUUUUCACAAACUCACUUUGGCAACACCAUGGAGGAAUGUUUAGAGUAGAGAAAUAUUUAAGUCAAGAAGCCAGAUUCAAAGACCAUUGUGAUUAACUCUUUGAAAGAUGACAAGAGCCUGAACUUAGUAACUCAAUUGGGGAGAGGAAGGAUGGGAGCCACAAAGCUCAUAGCUUCACAGACUUAAAACUGGAAGGGGCCUCAGAGGUCAUCUAGUCCAAUCUGAUCCUUUUACAAGUUGAAAAUUUAAAAAUUGAAGACCAGAGAAGGAAGAAGAAAGAAACAAAGAAACCAAGAAAGAAACAAAGGAACAAAGAAAGAAAGAAAAGAAGGAAAUGAAGGAACAAACAAAGAAACAAAGAAACAAAAACAAAGAAAGGAAGGAAGGAAGGAGGAAGGAAGGAAGAAAUAUAGUAUAUUUUGUUGGAAUGAAGACUUCAUCAAUUCAUUCUCUGAAAGCAUGUGGGGUUUUCCAUCAAGAGUUUCUGGGAUUGUAUUAGAUUACUGCAUUGCUAAGAAUAACUAGAUCAUCACAGUUGUUCAUUAAAAAAUACUCUAGUCACUCUGUACAAUAUUAUUAUAGUUCUAUUAUAGUUAGAUUAUAGUUCUCUUCACUUUGCAUUAAUUCAUGUAAAGCUUUCCAAUUUCUCAAAUAAUUGUUUGUCAUUUCUCAUAGCAUAAUAGUAUUCCAUCACAAUCACAUACAAUAACUUGUUCAGUCCCUCUCCAAUUGAUAGACAACCCUCCAAUUUGCAAUACUUUAAUACUACAAAAAAAGAGCUGCAAUAAAUAUUUCUCUACAAA